UUUUUUACUUUUUUUUUUUUUGUAAUACUUCAAUAAGUGGAGCUCCAGAAGUCCAAAACGUGCGCGAAUGUUAAAUGCCAGCGUGUCACAAUGGACUUUUAAAGCCCAACAAGUUGCCGAGCGUGUUGGGCUUCUUCGUGAUUUGUGAAACAGAAUGUCUGCUGGGCUUGGCUGUUGGACAUAUAUUGCAUCUUGAAAACUGGAACCUACCAUUGGGUACUGUCAAGAGUCCGCGGGAUGUCGUUGCUUCGUGGAUUCAUGACAGAUUCCAUUUUUGGCCUAGUUAAUUACU
rnacentral:lncRNA from 1 species